UCCGGUUUGUCACCGGCAGUCUCGCAUGAGUCCCCAACUAAAUGCUGGCAACAUGCGACGGGGGUUGCGCUCGUUGCGGGACUUAACCCAACACCUCACGGCACGAGCUGACGACAGCCAUGCAGCACCUGAGCAGGCUGCCCUUUCGGGCUCCUUCCCCUUUCAGGGUCGUACUACCUGCUUGUCCAGCCUGGGUAAGGUUCUUCGCGUUGCGUCGAAUUAAACCACAUGCUCCACCGCUUGUGCGGGCCCCCGCCAAUUCCUUUGAGUUUCAACCUUGCGGCCGUAGUCCCCAGGCGGUUCACUUAAUGCGUUAGCUUCGGCACGGAGAACGUGGAAUGUUCCCCACACCUAGUGCCCACCGUUUACGGCGUGGACUAC
rnacentral:misc_RNA from 1 species